AUCACUUCUUGGCCUUUUGGCUAAGAUCAAGUGUAAAUUUUAGAAUAAGCUUGCUUAUGCCAAAAAAACACCUUGCUGAGAAUUUGAUAGGAAUUGCAUUAAACCUAUCAAUCAGUUUAAGGAGA
rnacentral:snRNA from 1 species